AGGCAGAUAGAAAUCCUAAGUACACCAAAGUGGGAAGUGCUACAAAUUAAAUUGCUUUUAUUCCUGUGGAUAAUUUUCUUUCCCUGUUUUAACAUAUUUAUGCCUUCUAUUUCCUAACACUUUGUAAAGGAACUGAUUAUGAAAUCAGAAAACCUGGGUUUUUCCUCUUAAUGUGACUUAGCUGCUGUCAGAGUUUCCUCAUCUGCAAAAUGAGGGAGUUAGAGUACAGUGGACACUCCAUUAUCCUCUCUAGCAUCAUCCCCUGAGUGCAGGCAGGCACUCUUUCAGGGAUCUGUUGACAGUCCCUAUUUUAUUUUUAGGUGCCAACCCAGCCUUUCCCCUCCUUUUCUAGAACUUUUGUGUACAGAAAGUGAAGGUGGGGCUGGGCACCACAGUGAGAGCUCGUCUCUCAAAAAAAAAAAAAAAAAAAAAAAAAAAAAAAAGCCGGGCAUUGUGGUGUGUGCCUGUGGUUCCAGCUAGUCGGGAGGCUGAGGCGGGAGGAUUGCUUGAGCCCAGGAGUUGGAGGCUGCAGUGAACUAGGAUUGUGCCACUGCACUCCAACCUGGGCGACAGAAUGAGACCCUGUAUUUAAAAAAAAAGAAAAGAGGGCCAGGCACAGUGGCUCAUGCCUGUAAUCCCAGCACUUUGGGAGGCCGAGGUAGGUGGAUACCUGAAGUCAGGAGUUCAAGACCAGCCUGGCCAACGCGGUGAAACACCAUCUCUACUAAAAAUACAAAAAUUAGCUGGAUGUGGUGGUGCAUGCCUAUAAUUCCAGCUACUCAGGAGGCUGAGGCAGGAAAAUCGCUUGAACCCAGGAGGUGGAGGUUGCAGUGAGCUGAGAUCGCACCACUGCAAUCCACCCUGGGCGACAGAGCGAGACUCAGUCUCAAAAAAAAAGAAAAGAAGGUGAAGGUGGCUAAAUAGCAUAACAUGUCAGAGAUUUAACAUGUCAGAGAUUUCCACAUGUUAUCAAGUCUGUUUCAUGGCUAAGAACUGGAAGGGACCUUUGAGGACAUCUAAUCCUCAUAGGACUUAACAAUAGGAUGAGGAAACAAGCUCAGAAAUAGGCUAUAACUUGCCCAAGGCACUCAGAGAGGGAAUGCCAGAGCCAGGGCCAGCUCUCAACUUCAGGCCAGAGAAGCGCAGGGUCUUCCAUGAGAAAUAGGGCCUGUCAGACUGGACAGGCUCCUUGGAGGUGGUCCAGUGAGUCCAAUCCCUUUUUUUUGCCGCGGCUUAGACGAGGGGCCGCUGAGGAUUCUCAGAAUUCGCUGGAUCUGGACCCAGACUUCCGGCUCCGCAGUGCAGCCUGAAUGAUCAACAGGGGAAUGUGCGUUCGCCAGGGUCCCCGGGGGUAGAGGCACCUCUCCCUGUGCGGGGCCGGGGAUAUUACUCAACACGGGUCUUAGGUGUCUGGGCUGCUGGGGUCUCCUCCACGGACAGGAGCCACGGCCAGGACUUGCAGGCCGCCCCCUGCUGGUCCGUCUCGGAACCGGGCAGGUGGCCGCGGCGCUGCCUGGGUUGGGGGCAUGGCCUUACAACGGUGAGCCAAUCCCAGGCCGCACCGUGGAUAGGGGCGGGCGUUCGCUUCUCCUCCCCGUCCCUUGGUUCUCUUCGCGGCGGAAGCUGUGCGGCGACCUAGCAACCGUCCUUGCCGACCCUCCCGCCGGUGACUUGGCUGCGACCCGCCCUUCUUGCCACAGCCCUUUGGAAAGCGAAGGUCCCUUCAGGGCCAAAAGGACAGGGAGGUUUUUUCCUUCCUUCCUUCCCUCCCUCCUUCCCUCCUUCCCUUUCUUUCUUUCCUUUCUUUUUCUUUCUUUCCACAGAGUCUGACUCAAUCACCCAUGCUGCAGUGUAGUAUCAUGAUCCGCUCACUGAAGCCUCUGCCUCCCGGGUUCAAGCGAUUCUCCCAACUCAGCCUCCCAAGUAGCUGUACAGCCUGUGGAUCCAGUAUGUUACAGUGACAGUCUCCUCCCUCUUUCAUUUCCCGUCUGCAUUUCUUCUUUAAUUACUGAAGCCCUCAAAAUUAUCUUUGGAGAAAAUGACAAACUACACUCCUUCUGUGAUUCUGUGUUGCUUUCUUCUGGUCAUAGUCCUUAACCUUGGCAAAAUAAACUUCUAGAUUGAUUGA